rnacentral:rRNA from 1 species
AGAUUGAACGCUGGCGGCAGGCCUAACACAUGCAAGUCGAGCGGCAGCACGGGUACUUGUACCUGGUGGCGAGCGGCGGACGGGUGAGUAAUGCCUAGGAAUCUGCCUGGUAGUGGGGGAUAACGCUCGGAAACGGACGCUAAUACCGCAUACGUCCGUACGGGAGAAAG